rnacentral:rRNA from 1 species
GACGAACGCUGGCGGCGUGCUUAACACAUGCAAGUCGAACGGAAAGGCCCUGCUUGUGUGGGGUGCUCGAGUGGCGCACGGGUGUGUAACACGUGAGUCACCUGCCCUUGACUUUGGUAUAACUUCAGGAAACUGGGGCUAAUACCGGAUAGGAGCUCCUUCUGCAUGGUGGGGGUUGGAAAGUUUCGGCGGUUGGGGAUGGACUCGCGGCUUAUCAGCUUGUUGGUGGGGGAGUGGCUUACCAAGGCUUUGACGGGUAGCCGGCCUGAGAGGGUGACCGGCCACAUUGGGACUGAGAUACAGGCCAGACUGCUACGGGGAGCAGUAGUGGAGAAUAUUGAACCAGGGGCGGAAGCGUGAUGCGGCAACGCCGCGUGCGGGAUGUCGGCCUUUGGGUUGUAAACCGCUUUGGCCUGUGACGAAGCGUGAGUGACGGUAAUGGGUAAAGAAGCACCGGCUAACUACGUG